CUGGCGCCGGCGCCGGCCACUAGGUUUAUGGCGUUCGCUCAUUCUCGUUCCUUCCUUGGCGGCAGUUAGAGCCCGAAUUGCUCCUCCCCAGGGGGCCCGACACCGCCCCUUCCACCCGCAGGCCAUGGCGGGCGCUGAGGCGCGGAGGCGGGCGCCAUGCUGAGGGCCGGAGGUUUCAUGUCGCUAGUACUAGCCCUAGUGCUAGCUGCGAGGCUCCCCGCGCUCGGCCGGCCGCCGCCGCCGCUGGGCCGACUCCUCGCCCUGUGGGAGCUGUGGCCAGGUUAUAUAAAAGAGUGUCAGCUACUAUCAAUGGUAACAGUAAACAAUUCUUCAAAUAAAAUAUCACAACUUGUGGACCCAGAACAAUCAACAUUGAAAAAAAAUCUUCUAAUUUCUCAUGGCGUUUGGCAGAACACUUCUACAGCUGGAAGAAAUUACAAAAUUUUUAAAACAAAAUCAGAAGCAACUAGAAGAAAAACUGACAAAUACAAGCACCAAUGGAAGCUGCUGAGAAAUAACAUUAUAAACAUUUUCAUGAAUCAAAACAAGCCACAACUAAUUACCAAUGAAGGCAUAAAAACACAAGUUUCCAAAAAGUGGACAGGAAGUGGAAAAAUAACUUCAACUGAAACAAAUGCAGAGCUAACAGAAAAAGCAAGAAAGAUCCUAAAGCUUGGGAAAACUGAAAAUACUAAGAUAAUAAGUCAACAUAAAAUUAAUUCACAUCUACAGAAUGAAUUUAAAAUUGUUGAAAAGAAAACUGCAAAUAAUAAAAGAAAUCAACUGCAAAAAAAGUUGUAUUGCAAUUCUUGUAUAUUUAACAAAUGCUUUGGAACUAAGCCAUCAUUGAUAAAUACGUUUUUGACAGCAAAUUGUCUAUCAACUGUUAAAGGAAAAUGUUGCAGAAAAAAUCUGAAAGACUUACAAAGCAUUUUGGUAUUAAAUUUAGUAAAAAAUCAGAUGGUCAAUGAAAGUAGUCAAAAUCAAACUAAAACAAUGACAAAGGAAAAAAAUAAAUGUACCAAUAAAAGAAUUUUAGCAUUUGUCAAACAAAAGGAAUUAGCUGAAAAGAGUUCUAAAACAUGGGACUGGGAAAGAAUAGGUGCAAUCAGCAGAGAUCAGCAUAAAAUAUUAACUGAUGCAAGAAAAGUGUUAAUAAGUGCAGAAAAGAAAAGUCAACAUACUGAACUUCAGAAAUAUGGACAUAUACCUAAAGAGUUUCAGGAAAUAACUGGAUCUGUAAACAAUAUACCAAGUGGAAUAAGCAGUUGGAAAAGAAAAUCAGAAGGAAUGUCUACUAGGCCUUACAGUAAAAACCAAAACAUUUUAAACUCAAUGAAACAAAGAUCAGCAGGAUUACAAAAGGGUCAACCAAAUAUGAAAGACAUAGAUGGAAUGUACACAACAGGAAAAUCAGACAAAAAUAACAGGAGCAUAGAUGUAUUGUUUAAUAGCUUGCCUGAAGUAGGAAUCAAAGUAAUACUUCAAGGUAAAGAGCAAAGAACUAAAACAACUCCAAAAUCUGUUGAUAAAAAUCAGAGAUCUUCUGCACAAGCAAUGAUCCUGCAAAGAAGCAAAGAAAAUGUGCAGGAAAAGUGGUCAAUAUAUAAAACUGGUUCUUCUAGAACUCAUGAAAGAAAACAAGAUACUUUUAAAACUAAAGUUUCUAGAAAACAGAAAUGGAGAGGGAAUCCGGUUGAAGUACAUAUACCUAAAAAAGAAAGUACUGUGUUUAGAGUGGAAAGGUUGGAAUAUUCAUCCAGAAAUGACCACGUAGAACCUAUAAAGUUAAAUUCUGUCUUUCCAACCACAAAAUAUGCUGUAAGUGUUAAACAGGCAUUAUUUCCACCAGAAAUAGGACAAGCAAAGUCUUCAAGACAUGUGGGAAAAAUGGUGACACAUAGCACGUCAACUUCAUGGAAGGUAAAACAGAAAUCUUUAAGCUUUGCUCAAAAGGAUUUAAAUAUUAAAGCUAGAAGAGCUGCUGUAUCAAACAAACAAACUGUGAAUAGUAAAUAUAAAAAAAUUAAUAAAAGAGAUUAUUUACCAAUAUCUUCAAUAUAUCCUUAUAAACAUACUUCUCAAAGUGUAUCUGAUGGUGAAAGAAGAAAACAAUCAACACAGGGUGAAAGUGUAAAGGUAUCUGUAGGUGAGUUGAUCUGUUUUUUCAUGCUAUAGCCAUAAAUUGUAAAUUAACCUCUUAACUUCUAAAUGUAUGGUACUUUUCAAAGAAGAUCUAUUUUGUUUACAAAGGAAUUUUCUUAACCCUCUUCAUAGGAUGGUACUAUAAAAGAAUGGUGAGUAAUCCUUUCACAGAUAUGAAGGAAUGUGCAAAAGUGGUGUCAUCUUGUGUAACAGUGCAAGGGCCUCCCACAGGACCAAUCUCUGGGCUCUGGGGAGCACAGCGACUGCUUGCUCCUGCUUCCCACUUUAUUCCACCAGGAGCAAGAUGCUAAAAAGGAAGCUUGGAGGAGACAUAUUCAUAAUCUGAAGCUCAUCCCUUUCCUAUACCAGCCAAAUGGAUGGAGCAUAUUACACAUCCUCUGUAUCCUCAGAAAAGAUCUGGAAGGAAUUGUGUUUCAUGUAGACACAAUCUGCUGUGUGAUAAUCCUGAGGCUCCACACACACCAUCUUCUGUGUAAUUGCUCUAAAAUUGCCACUGAACCUAUAGACUUGUGAUUGUGAUAUUGACGACAAAUGGCAAGGUGGCAAUGAAUUACCUUGAAUGGUAAAUAUAUACAUCUACAAAAGGAUGUGUUGCAAGAAAAGAAUUCAUGUAUGGACAUCAUACAAUUGUUGUCUAAAAGAAAUCUGAGCCAGUUUUUCUUAACUAAGCAGAAACAUUUUCAUGGAAUGAAAGUUACCCUAGUGACAGAGCCCACAUAAGAUCCAGUACACCUAAAGGGCAUAGGUAUUCGUUAGAGCCUUCUGUGAG
ensembl:lncRNA